rnacentral:tRNA from 1 species
CUGGCCGUGGGCGACUUGAUGACGUCCACGCUAUGGAACAGCGUGGCGGGCAGCAUGGUGAAGUCGGGUUGUUGCGAAUCGAUCUGGUCCGCC